UUCCAUUUUGUAAUGGCGCGCGUGCUGCACGGUGAGGCGUGCAGGGAUGAUUUCGCUCGCGUUGCUAUUUAUUUCCGUCCACGUUACUCCGUUGUUGUCACCGCGUUCACACAUGCUGUCGAUUGUGUUAACUUUGUAAUGCGUUGCGUAGCGCGUUGGUUAAAGUGGUCUUAACUUGAUUACCCGGCGUUUGGUUUGUGUUAUCCAACGGAGGCCUUUCUGAAUAGGCCGCGUAUUUUCGGGUGAAAAUGUUCAACGUUUAAAGUGGAACUUUACUUUGUUUUCAAGCUAUAUAUUUACACGUCGCAUCCACACAGUGUGUUUAUACAAACUAUAGUCCGUUCAUGUUUGCACUCAAGUUUCGUUCGUGGAAGUUUUAGUCGCGGCACUAUCCAUAUGAUUCUGGAAUUUCCGCCUUUUGAUUUUGAGCAUUUUAUUUUAUCACAAAUAUGUACAACAGCAAGGUAGCGGUGGACAUUUUAUUUUGGGGAAGCGUGAUUUAAAUAAUAGCGCUGCGGUAUGUUCGGCAGAUAAUGUUUAUCGAAAUAAAAAAAUGUUACAUGUCCAGUAUCUAAAACCGCUACGAUAAGCUUUUUUUUGCCCGUGUUGGAUAAUGGUAGCAGUACGCUUUGAACGUGAGCUCUCUAUUACCCGUGGCUGUCGCCCCUCGCCUGGCCCCACUGACCCAUGGGGUCUGGCAUGCGUGUGGCCACGGAGAGAAACACCCGUGAAGGGAGAGGAAUCUGCCGACAGGACUCGUGGAGACGUGGGGCAACCUGUGCGAUGGCUCCUCACAUGCGAGCGCGUGCACACACACACGAACACACAAACGCAAUUCCCCACAACGUAUUUCACACACAUCAACCCCCACACGCAGUUCGUGAAUUGAACUAAAAUUGAGCUCGAGAUAAGAGCCCAGCCCAGUCCGUGAUGACAAACACUGCGCAAAUCUGACGCGCUUCGGUGCCGUGUGAUCUAAUGGACUAUUGUACCUGAGACUGGGCUGUGUGUAUCCAAGGGCUGAAUUGAAACUAGGGAUACUGCAUGAUUUGCCAAAGACGUCUAAAUUGCUUGAUUGUCGAGAUUCUAAACUCGUUUGUACUGUAUAUCAUUUCAGGCUGUUCGUGGCUUUAUUGACUGGAGAGAGGGGGGCCAUUCCAGCUCAAGAAAUCCGGAGAUUCUCACAAGAUUCGUAUAUGUUUUGUCGUGGAAGAUAUAGAUGAAAUAUGAAACGGGCCAUUUUUUUUACUCUGUAAAGAGCUACCGAGAUGCACAGAGACCACUCUAUGCAUUCUCUCAAAUUUCGGUCCACCUGAUGACGACUGCGUGUGUUGCAAUCGAAGCGUCGUAUUUUAUUUAUUUAUUUUAUUUCUACGUGACUUUACCGAAAGAACCAGAGAGUGAUUCCUGCAGUCACGAAAGCUUCAAAUCAAGUUUGAACUACGACACAGAUUCAGCGGCUGCUGCACACUAACGUCCUCCUUCCCCCACGUCCCCUGUCCCCGUCUCAGCCGAACAAGGUGAGCCUGAGCGCGAAACUUUAUGAAGAUUGAAGCCUCUAAACACGUCUUAUCUACUGUGUUUGCCACAUGAUAACUUUACAAAACAAAAAGUAAUCUACACGCUUCAAAAAUUACAAAAUCAGUUUGCCGUGUGUGUUCUGUGAAGUGACAGUGCUGCUGCUACGAUCGAUGCUGUCAAACUUGGCGUUCUUAAUGUGAAUAAAAUGCCCCAGAAAAAAAUAAUAUAAAAUUGAAUAAAACAUGUGUCUGUAGUAACCAUUGGCUAUAAGGAGUUUACAAAAUAUAGAUAAAUAUUUUAUAUUAAGAAAACUAAACAGGCCAAUAAAAAUAAUAUGGUUAUUAUUACGUGUGUGUGUUUUGACUUAGACAGAUGCAGUCAGCUUUAUUGUCUGUACCUCGUUCUACUAAUGACCCAGUCCUCUCAGUGUCAGGUAAGGUGAACAUGGUCAGCUACCAAGGUAGUAAAAACUAAUUAAGUUUUGGAUUGUCUAAUUUCUUGUGUUGUAUAGUUAUGUUUCAUAUAAUAUUAUUCAACAAUGAAGUUAAGAAAAUAUUAAUUCUAAGCUGUAACUUGCUGUUGACUGGGGGACAAAAUUAUUUUGCUAUCCUAACCCCACAGAAACAAGAGAGACGGAGAGUUUUGCCAGGAAAGAGUGUGGAAGUUGAGGAAGCGGUGAGAAUAGUGGAAUAUGAGAGCACAGAGGGAGCCCUAAGUGUAAAGGAAGAUAACAGAAGAGAGGAAGAUGAGAGAACAGGGGAAGCCAUGAGAGCAGACUCAGAGGAAGAUGAGAGAACAGGGGAAGCCAUGAGAGCAGACUCAGAGGAAGAUGAGACUUGUGUCAAAUGAUCCUGGUUUGUGGCCAGCAAAAAUUAGCAAUGCAGACAGAAAAAAUUGUGGAAAAAAUAGCUUCUAAAGAUAAAGAACAAGAAAUGCCACAUGAUUCAAAAGGUAAAGCCUUCCCCGAAUACCUGAAGUACACAAAGUCAGGAAAUUACAGGGAAAAGAUUAAGAGAGACUGGGUCAUUUACAGCCAAAGCACAAAUGCACUAUUUUGUAUUCCUUGUGUAGUAUUUGGUCAUGAGCUAAAGAAACCUUGUAUGAGCACACUAAGCAGUCAACAUGGUUAUAAAAUCAAAGACAUAACAUGGCGUCGAAUGUAUGAUAAAUUCCCUAACCACGAAAGCAGCAAAGCACACAGGGAGUGCUACUUAAAAUGGAAAACCUUACAACAGUCUGUAAUGGCAGCUGUCCCUGGGGGAAUAGACAGCAAGCUGAAGAAGCUCAUACAAACAGAAAUAGACAAAAAUAGAGCUAUUCUGAAGAGGAUACUAGAUGUAACCUUGUUCUUGGCCUCUCGAAAUUUACCCUUUAGGGGUAAAAAAAAGACUUGGGGGACAUUCAUAAUGGCAACUUCUUGGGCACCCUUGAGCUGCUGUCCCAUUAUGACCCACUACCCAACGACCAUCUACAAAAAGUCAGACAAAAAAACAGGAACAAGAUUGACACUAUUUAAGCUCAGAUAUUCAGAAGGAAUUUAUUGAGUUAUGUGGAAAACGAGUGUUAAGUAGUAUUCUUAAGGAAAGGGAGGAAUCAGUCUAUUAUUCAGUCAUUUGUGAUGCUACUCCUGAUAUUUCACAUACAGAGCAAAAUGUAUUACUCUUACGAUAUGUAGGUUUUGAUCAAGAAAUGGGAGGUUGUUGAAAGGUUUUUGGAGUUUAAAGAUUUUCACAAAAAAAACAGGAAGUGAGAUUGCAGACAUGAUUGUAAAUGUGCUUAACAGUCAUGGCAUAGAUCUGAAUGACUGCAGGGGCCAAGGCUAUGAUAAUGGGGCAAACAUGUCUGGAAAAAUCAAGGGGGUUCAAGCCCAAUUAUUAAAAAUAAUAAGCUGGCUACUUUUUCCCCUUGUGCGUCUCAUACUCUGAACCUUGUUGGUGUGCAUGCUGCUCAAUCAAGUCCAAAGGUUACCAACUUUUUUGGCUUUGUCAAUUGCCUUUAUGCACUUGUUAGUGCCAGCCCAGAGCGAUGGGCCAUCUAUAAGGCAAAAACGGGUUGCACUUUACAUCGUCUGUCAGACACUCGGUGGAGUGCAAGGGUUAAGGCCGUUCAACCUAUAGCCAAGCACCUGCCCAGUGUCCUAGACGCUCUUGAUGCCAUCCUCUCAACCUGCAGUCUGACACCAGAGGCUCGGUCUGAAGCCAGCGGCCUAAAAAAGUAUUUUGAAACUUUUGAUACUGUUUUUCUGUUGACUGUUUGGGUCAAAGUUCUGCAAGCCAUUGACAAAAGGAAUAUUAUUCUCCAGUCAGGGAAAUUAACUCUUGAGACAGGCAGAAAAUAUCAGAGCAUUGCAGGAAGAGAUGCAACAUCUGAGGGAUGAAUGGGAGAGUUUCUUUUCUGAAGCAUCACUUGUUGCUCAACAGAUGAGCAUUAACCCUCUGUUCAGGUCAGGAUUCAGCCGCCAGAGGAAAAGAAAACGGUUUCACGAUGAGGCAGAGGUAGAGGGAGCAAGGGAGCACAGUGCAGACACCAUAUUCAGAAACACUGUUUCUUCCCAUGAUGGACCACAUAAUCAAUGACUUAAGUACCAGGUUUGCCACAACAGCUGAGAUCUUGGAUCAGUUUUCUGUAGUUGUAAAAAUGGGUCCGUUACGCGAUGAUCAAAUCCAUUCUGUAUGCCAGCCAUUGAUUUCAAAAUACAACACUGAUCUGACUUGUGAAUUUGAAGAUGAAGUCAGACACCUCAACUCUGUAUAUAGGGCCACUUUCCCAGGGUGUCUGUCACCAAUUUAUCUGCUCAACAGCAUUUACAAGAUGCAGCUGCAGAGUAUUUUUGGGCAGGUCUGCAUAGUUUUGCGAAUAUUUUGCACACUGCCUAUGACUGUUACUGGUGGCGAGAGAGCAUCCAGUAAGCUGAAACUAAUAAGAAAUUAUCUGAGGUCUAUGUUGCAGGAUAGACUUUGUCACCUUGCCAUACUAUCCAUUGAAAGCAAACUGGCAAGAAAGCUGAACUUUGAUUUGAUAAAUGAUUCUGCCAGCAGAAAGGCACGCCGCUGGGCGAUUAUAAAGUGAUGUUGAACAUAACUUUAUUAGACCUGGAUAACAAACAGUUGAUGUCUGGUUCAGUACUUGUUUAGUCCUGAACUGGUUUAGGCCUGGCAUUACUCCUGGUGUCUUCAUUUUGAGCCCUUUUGGCCUAGCUAGUUUUAUUCCUGGACUGAUUUAAUUAUGGGUUAGUUCUAGCUGAUGUUCCCUGAUUGAGCAGUUUGACCCAGCUAAAGCUUGUUCAUGUAAAGUAUGUCAAUAUGUGUACAUUGUUCUGUUGUGCUUGCAAUUGAGAUAAUAAAUGUUCUCCCUUUUAUGUAAACAAGUACAUAUUUCUAUAUUUUUUCUUGUUUUUGUAGGCUUUGUACUCAUCUUUAGACAUUUUAACUACGCAAUGUGCUAAGUAUCUUUUUUAAAGUAUACUGGGCAUGUUUAUUGGGUUAAAUUUUACCUGUAAAAAAUGUAGGGGGCCCAGAAAUUUUGGUUUCCAUAGGGCCCAGAAUUUCUGGCGGCACCCCUGCUUGGAGAAAAUAGAUGUCAAGAACGACUAAUGCAGGAAUGUAUGAGGAACGUCUUUGAUUUUAUGUAAAAGAUUGAGCAAAGAGCUCUUAGUAUUGAGAUGUACAGAACUGCUACAUUAGGCACCAAGUUUAGAUUACCUUUUAUCUUUAUUUUGAACCAUGGAAAUGCAUUUGCAACCUUUGCUCAGGCUGCUGGAACAAAGAACAAAAUUGUUUUGCGCUGGAUGUAUGAAUUUUUGGGGUUAUUUGACUUUGUAAACGUUUUCUGCACGUAAUGUAAUUAGAUUGUAUUUUGUACCCCAUUUCCCCGUUUAAAUGUUUUGUUUUCAUGGACAAUGUUCACUUGAUCAUUAUUAAAAGUUCAAAAGGCAA